AUUGAACGCUGGCGGCAUGCUUUACACAUGCAAGUCGGACGGCAGCGGGGGUGCUUGCACCUGCCGGCGAGUGGCGAACGGGUGAGUAACAUAUUGGAAUGUACCGAGUAGUGGGGGAUAACCAAUCGAAAGAUUGGCUAAUACCGCAUACGUCCUGAGGGGGAAAGCAGGGGAUCUUCGGACCUUGCGCUAUUUGAGCAGCCAAUAUCUGAUUAGCUAGUUGGUGGGGUAAGGGCCCACCAAGGCGACGAUCAGUAGCGGGUCUGAGAGGAUGAUCCGCCACACUGGGACUGAGACACGGCCCAGACUCCUACGGGAGGCAGCAGUGGGGAAUUUUGGACAAUGGGGGCAACCCUGAUCCAGCCAUGCCGCGUGUCUGAAGAAGGCCUUCGGGUUGUAAAGGACUUUUGUUAGGGAAGAAAAGGGAAGUGUUAAUACCACUUUUUGCUGACGGUACUA
rnacentral:rRNA from 1 species